GAUGAACGCUGGCGGCGUGCCUAAUACAUGCAAGUCGAGCGAACAGACGAGGAGCUUGCUCCUCUGACGUUAGCGGCGGACGGGUGAGUAACACGUGGAUAACCUACCUAUAAGACUGGGAUAACUUCGGGAAACCGGAGCUAAUACCGGAUAAUAUAUUGAACCGCAUGGUUCAAUAGUGAAAGACGGUUUUGCUGUCACUUAUAGAUGGAUCCGCGCCGCAUUAGCUAGUUGCUAAGUUAACGGCUUACCAAGGCAACGAUGCGUAGCCGACCUGAGAGGGUGAUCGGCCACACGGGAACUGAGACACGGUCCAGACUCCUACGGGAGGCAGCAGUAGGGAAUCUUCCGCAAUGGGCGAAAGCCUGACGGAGCAACGCCGCGUGAGCGAUGAAGGUCUUCGGAUCGUAAAACUCUGUUAUUAGGGAAGAACAAAUGUGUAAGUAACUAUGCACGUCUUGACGGUACCUAAUCAGAAAGCCACGGCUAACUACGUG
rnacentral:rRNA from 1 species